rnacentral:lncRNA from 1 species
GAGUGGGAAGAGGUAUCCUUUGAUUUGACCCUUCAAAGUUUACUAUAGGGGGCUUCGAGAUGGCUCAGUUGGUAAACUGCAUGCCAUAGUAACUUGAAGGCCUGAACUUGGAUCCCCAGCACCCACAUAAAAGCUACACAUGAAGGGGUGAGUCUGUAUCCACAGUGCUGGCUUGAGGAGCAGAGACAAGCAUCCUUGGAGCUCAUUGGUCGGCCACUGUAGCAGCUAGUGAGCUCUAGGAUCAGUGUAAGACCCUAUCUUUAAAAAAUAGCCAGCCCAACUUGAGACCCAUCUCAUGGUCAAGCACCAAUCCCUGCCACUAUUAAUGAUGCUCUAUUAUGCUUGCAGACAGGAAUCUAGCACGGCUGUCUUCUGAGAGGCUCCACCCAGCAGCUAGCUCAGACAGAUGCAGACAUCCACAGUCAAACAGUAGGUGAAGCUUGGGGACUCUAUGGAAGAACAGGAGAAUCUGGAGUUCUAGGUCUUGACUAGACUGGCUGGCCAAUGAGGAAAUGGAAUCUGCCUGUCAUUCCCUACAUAGAGCUAGAGUCAGAGGCACAAGCCACCAUGCCUGGCUUUUUAUGUGAGUGCCGGGGGAGUGGGGGUGGGGGAUGGGGGGUGGGGAAGCGGUAUGUGAAUUCAGAUCCUCACCUUUGUAAAGCAAACACUUCACCCACUGUGCCUCUCCCCAGCCUUAGGUCAUGAUCUGCAUGUACGGAGAGUGGCUAAUGGGCUGGAUAGACAAGUCAGCUAACCUAUAAAGGCUAACCUAUAAAGGCUUGGAGCGUAAGGUAAGGAUGCCUACAUAGCAAGACACUCUCUUCAUACUGGAAGCUUCUAUAGACUCAUGCUUACAGAUGAGUCUAGCCUGUAGCCAACAGACCACAUCUGGACAAAGAUUUGAUUGCAUGUAUGUGUUGUAACCCCUGAAUUACUGAUAUUAGAGACACUUCAGUGUUGUAUACAGGACGGCAGAUGCAGUGAGACAAUCUAAAGUGACUUCCAGAAACAUGCAGCGUACUAUCGAAGAUGUAGUAUCAAGUUGCAAAGCUUGCCAAUUGAUCAAUACCCACAACACUGCGAAACAACCUAGCUCAUGUCUGUGAGAUAAGAGACUGGAGGCCUACUGGGAAGUUGAUUUUACAGAAAUCAAACCAGGAAAGUACGGCCAGAGGUACUUAUUAGUGUUCGUGGAUACUUUCUCCGGGUGAACAGAAGCCUUUCCAACGAAGACUGAGACUGCAAAGGUAGUGGCUAAGAAGUUGCUGGAAGACAUCCUACCCAG